GACGAAUGCUGGCGGCGUGCUUAACACAUGCAAGUCGAACGGUGAAGGGGAGCUUGCUCCCUGGAUCAGUGGCGAACGGGUGAGUAACACGUGGGUAACCUGCCCCUCACUUCGGGAUAACCAUCCGAAAGGAUGGCUAAUACCGGAUACGAAGCCUGGAGGCAUCUCCGGGUUUGGAAAUUUUUCGGUGAGGGAUGGACCCGCGGCCUAUCAGCUUGUUGGUGAGGUAAUGGCUCACCAAGGCGAAGACGGGUAGCCGGCCUGAGAGGGCGACCGGCCACACUGGGACUGAGACACGGCCCAGACUCCUACGGGAGGCAGCAGUGGGGAAUAUUGCACAAUGGGCGAAAGCCUGAUGCAGCGACGCCGCGUGAGGAAUGAAGGCCUUCGGGUUGUAAACCUCUUUCAGUAGGGACGAAGCGCAAGUGACGGUACCUAAAGAAGAAGCACCGGCUAACUACGUGCCAGCCGCCGCAGUAA
rnacentral:rRNA from 1 species